AAUGGCAGCCAGGAUGACCAAGAAUGACUCAGGGAGAAGGGAGCUCUCCCUCCCCAAUACAUUUAUCUCAACAUGAGCAGAGACAGAGGGACAGGGUUGGAGAACGCUGGUGAUUUUCAUAGCCACCUGUGAAACUCCUUUCCUAGAAACUAAAUUAAUUGUUCCUUCCUACAACUAAUCCCUUCCACCAACAGGAUUAUAACAAAGAGGAACCUGUCUUCAGUUACUGGACCAGCUAUGGGCUCAUGAGCCAAACUGGACUAGCAGAGCUUUCCCUCAGAGAUUUGGAUAUGGAAUGUAAAGAGGAAAGGAAAUCAAUAUGGUUUUGAAUCAGGAAUGGAGAUAUGAGGA